rnacentral:rRNA from 1 species
UGGGGGAUAUUGCACAAUGGGCGCAAGCCUGAUGCAGCGACGCCGCGUGGAGGAUGAAGGUUUUCGGAUUGUAAACUCCUGUUACGCGGGAAAAAAGACUUUGUUUAAAUAAAACAAGGGGAUGAUGGUACCGCGAGAGAAAGCACCGGCAAACUUCGUGCCAGCAGCCGCGGUAAUACGAAGGGUGCGAGCGUUAUUCGGAAUAACUGGGUGUAAAGCGCGUGAAGGCGGCUUUAUAAGUCGUUUGUAAAAGAGCUCAGCUUAACUGGGUAAAUGCAGAUGAAACUGUAGAGCUAGAGUACGGGAGAGAAGAGUGGAAUUCUCGGAGUAGCGGUAAAAUGCGUAGAUCUCGAGAGGAACACCGGUUGCGAAGGCGGCUCUUUGGCCCGAAACUGACGCUAAAGCGCGAAAGCGUGGGUAGCAAACAGG